rnacentral:rRNA from 1 species
AGCGAACGCUGGCGGCAGGCUUAACACAUGCAAGUCGAGCGGGCAUCCUUGUGGUGUCAGCGGCAGACGGGUGAGUAACGCGUGGGAACGUGCCCUUCGGUUCGGAAUAACUCAGGGAAACUUGAGCUAAUACCGGAUACGUGCGAGAGCAGAAAGGUUUAUCUGCCGAAGGAUCGGCCCGCGUCUGAUUAGCUAGUUGGUGAGGUUACGGCUCACCAAGGCGACGAUCAGUAGCUGGUCUGAGAGGAUGAUCAGCCACCCUGGGACUGAGACACGGCCCAGACUCCUACGGGAGGCAGCAGUGGGGAAUAUUGGACAAUGGGGGCAACCCUGAUCCAGCCAUGCCGCGUGAGUGAUGACGGCCUUAGGGUUGUAAAGCUCUUUUCUCCGGGACGAUAAUGACGGUACCGGAGGAAUAAGCCCCGGCUAACUUCGUG